AAUUAAUCAUUUCAUUACAGAUAAUAAAUCAAAAAACUGUGUUCCCGAAUGCGUUACAGUAGUUAGAAUUUCUUUACGAGAUGGAAGAUUUCACGAAGGGAUUGGCUGCUACGAAUAUGAUGAUAAUAAAGACAAAAAUGGUUUUGCAGAAAUUAGAAAGAAAUCAUUAAUUGAUGGAAUUUUCAACGCUUUGUUCCAUUUUAAAGAGAUAAGAGAUUAUUUAGAGAGAAAAAAUAAUGAAAGAAUGAUUCGUUUAAGUAAACAAGAGGAAAAACAAAGACAAUGGAAAUUAAAAAGAGAAGCUGAACAGAAAACAGAAGCAGGAGAUGAGGAGAUGAAGACACGAGGUGGAGGAGAAGAGGAUAUAAAGUCACGAGGUGAAGAAGAAGAAUCCAUAGGAAGCGAAGAAAUAAAUGUGACAAUUAAGAAAAUGGGCCGUCCAAGAAAAUUGAGAAAAUAAUAGUGGACAUACAAUUCCUGUUUUAUGUUUGAAAUUUA